AGAGUGAACGCUGGCGGCAGGCCUAACACAUGCAAGUCGAGCGCGUGUAGCAAUACACGAGCGGCAGACGGGAGAGUAACACGUGGGAACGCGCCCUUCGGUUCGGAAUAACUCAGGGAAACUUGAGCUAAUACCGGAUACGCCCUUACGGGGAAAGAUUUAUCGCCGAGAGAUUGGCCCGCGUCUGAUUAGCUAGUUGGUAGGGUAAUGGCCUACCAAGGCGACGAUCAGUAGCUGGUCUGAGAGGAUGAUCAGCCACAUUGGGACUGAGACACGGCCCAAACUCCUACGGGAGGCAGCAGUGGGGAAUAUUGGACAAUGGGGGCAACCCUGAUCCAGCCAUGCCGCGUGAGUGAUGAAGGCCCUAGGGUUGUAAAGCUCUUUUGUGCGGGAAGAUAAUGACGGUACCGCAAGAAUAAGCCCGGCUAACUUCGUGCUAGCAGCCGC
rnacentral:rRNA from 1 species